rnacentral:rRNA from 1 species
AUUGAACGCUGGCGGCAGGCCUAACACAUGCAAGUCGAACGGUAACAGGAAGCAGCUUGCUGCUUUGCUGACGAGUGGCGGACGGGUGAGUAAUGUCUGGGAAACUGCCUGAUGGAGGGGGAUAACUACUGGAAACGGUAGCUAAUACCGCAUAACGUCGCAAGACCAAAGAGGGGGACCUUAGGGCCUCUUGCCACCGGAUGUGCCCAGAUGGGAUUAGCUAGUAGGUGGGGUAACGGCUCACCUAGGCGACGAUCCCUAGCUGGUCUGAGAGGAUGACCAGCCACACUGGAACUGAGACACGGUCCAGACUCCUACGGGAGGCAGCAGUGGGGAAUAUUGCACAAUGGGCGCAAGCCUGAUGCAGCCAUGCCGCGUGUAUGAAGAAGGCCUUCGGGUUGUAAAGUACUUUCAGCGGGGAGGAAGGGAGUAAAGUUAAUACCUUGGCUCAUUGACGUUACCCGCAGAAGAAGCACCGGCUAACUCCGUG